rnacentral:rRNA from 1 species
AUUGAACGCUGGCGGCAGGCUUAACACAUGCAAGUCGAGCGGGGAAGGGUAGCUUGCUACCUGACCUAGCGGCGGACGGGUGAGUAAUGCUUAGGAAUCUGCCUAUUAGUGGGGGACAACAUUCCGAAAGGAAUGCUAAUACCGCAUACGCCCUACGGGGGAAAGCAGGGGAUCUUCGGACAUUGCGCUAAUAGAUGAGCCUAAGUCAGAUUAGCUAGUUGGUGGGGUAAAGGCCUACCAAGGCGACGAUCUGUAGCGGGUCUGAGAGGAUGAUCCGCCACACUGGGACUGAGACACGGCCCAGACUCCUACGGGAGGCAGCAGUGGGGAAUAUUGGACAAUGGGCGCAAGCCUGAUCCAGCCAUGCCGCGUGUGAAGAAGGCCUUUUGGUUGUAAAGCACUUUAAGCGAGGAGGAGGCUACUGGUAUUAAUACUACCGGAUAGUGGACGUUACUCGCAGAAUAAGCACCGGCUAACUCUGUGCCAGCAGCCGCCGUAA